rnacentral:rRNA from 1 species
AGAGUUUGAUCCUGGCUCAGAACGAACGCUGGCGGCAGGCUUAACACAUGCAAGUCGAGCGCGCCCUUCGGGGUGAGCGGCGGACGUGUGAGUAACGCGUGGGAACAUACCUUUCACUGCGGAAUAGCCUCUGGAAACGGAGAGUAAUACCGCAUACGCCCUUUGGGGGAAAGAUUUAUCGGUGAGAGAUUGGCCCGCGUUGGAUUAGGUAGUUGGUGGGGUAAUGGCCCACCAAGCCGACGAUCCAUAGCUGGUUUGAGAGGAUGAUCAGCCACACUGGGACUGAGACACGGCCCAGACUCCUACGGGAGGCAGCAAUGGGGAAUCUUAGACAAUGGGGGCAACCCUGAUCUAGCCAUGCCGCGUGUGUGAUGAAGGCCUUAGGGUCGUAAAGCACUUUCGCCUGUGAAGAUAAUGACGGUAGCAGGUAAAGAAACCC